rnacentral:rRNA from 1 species
ACGAACGCUGGCCGCGUGCUUAACACCUGCAAGUCGCACGGAAAGGCCCCUUUGGGGGUCCUCCAGUGGCGAACGGGUGAGUAACACGUGAGUAACCUGCCCUUGACUUCGGGAUAACUUCAGGAAACUGGGGCUAAUACCGGAUAGGAAUCCUUGCUGCAUGGUGGGGGUUGGAAAGCUUCGGCGGUUUUGGCUGGACUCGCGGCUUAUCAGCCUGUUGGUGGGGUAGUGGCUUACCAAGGCUUUGACGGGUAGCCGGCCUAAGAGGGCGACCGGCCACAUUGGGACUGAGAUACGGCCCAGACGCCUACGAGAGAAAGCAGUGGGGAAUAGUGCACAAUGGGCGGAAGCCUGAUGCAGCAACGCCGCGUGCGGGAUGACGGCCAUCGGGUUGUAAACCGCUUUCAGCAGGGGCGAAGCUUGUGGUGACGGUACCUGCAGAAGAAGCACCGGCUAACUACGUG